ensembl:lncRNA novel transcript
AUAGGGAAGUUGCUAAGACUCAGUGCCAGGCAUCUGCAAGGCAGCUAGGGCAGCAUAAGAUCAUUUCAGAAUGAAGAUGCUUUGGGAUCUGACUUCGGACUGUAAGAAUGACAAACUCUGAAUGGGUGCAAAGGUAGCAGAUGACCUUCAAAGGAUGGUGAGAUUAAAUUUACCUACACCUAGAGAAAUAAUUGGAGCACAUGUCUAUUUGGGCCAAGAGGAUAAAGGCCAGUAGAGGAAUCAGAUCAAAGAACUUCCUCAGGGAAGUGUGCAGAGAACUGGAGUGGACCUUCCCCUAGGAAGCUGCCCAAAACGAGAGUGCUGGAAAGCUGGCCGCAGUGAGGCACUUCAGAUCCCAAGGGUAUGCUGGGGAAGCUGCCACAGGUGGGAGCACUUGCUGCUGGACCCUAGGCACUGUUGAAACAACUGCACCAUCUGCAGGAGCCCAGCAAGAAAGAACUUGUUUGCAUCCCUGCUAGACAAAAACCUACAAGUUAACCUUUGCCCGUAUGGAGUUGUAAAACAGACCAGUUGAUAGAAAGAGAAGCCUGCUUCCCGAAGCCCUCAGCAGAAGCCGAGCAGAUGUUGGCACCAUGCUUCUUGUACAGCCUGCAGAACUUGAAGAAACACUCCAUAUUAGUUUUCUGGAGCCAUCGUUAUGAAGCAACACAGACUGGGUGGCAUAAACAAUGGAGAUUUAUUUUUUCACAAUUCCGGAGGCUAGAAGUUUGAGAUCAAGGUGUUGGAAAGGUGGGGUUUCCUACCUAUAUUUUGGUGGAGGGUCCUACUCUUCUAUCACCCACUACUUUGUAUGGGAGUGUUAAAAUCACCUGAAGCCUUGCUCAAAUGCUGAUUCCUCCAUGAAACGUUUCCUGAUAUCCCCCAAACAAAAUUAAUCUUUUUUUCUAAGUAUCUACAGAACUGUGCUUUUUUUGUCUUUAAUCAUUUUUACUUGCCUUCUUUCAAUUUCUUACCAGUUGAUAAUAUAUUCUUGAUAGAAAGAACUAUGUUACUUAUUUCUGUUUCCCAUCAUAAUCUCCACAUAUUAUGUGCUUAUUAGUUUAUUUCUAAUGAACAUACACGUAUUUCUAUGAUACCACGGGACUGAAUAUUCUAUCUUAAAGUACAUUAAUUGCAGAUUUUAAAAAUUAUUAUGCAGUUUUCAUUGUAGAGACCUUUCACUUAUUUGGUUAAUUCCUUAGUAUUUUAUUUUAUUUGUAGCUACUGUAAAUGGAAUUACUUUCUUGAUUUCUUUUUCUGAUUGUUUGCUGUUGGCAUAUAGAAAUGUUACUGAUUUUUGUAUGUUGACUUUGUAUCCUGCAGCUUUACUGAAUUUAUCAGUUCUAAUGGUUUUUUGGUGGG